rnacentral:rRNA from 1 species
UCGUCAUCGUAGGGUUAGUCGGGACCUAAGUCGAGUCCGAAAGGGGUAGACGAUGGCAAAUUGAUUAAUAUUUCAAUACCAACAAAUAAGCGCGAUGUGGGGACGCAUAGAGUUAGUCGAGGUCACUGAUGGAAUAGUGGCUCGAAGGACGUAGGUUGUUACUUAGGCAAAUCCGGGUAACGUUAGACCGAGAUCUUACAGGCUCUUGAAGCUCUUCGGAGGUGAUAGAGAAUCGAUGAUACUGUCGUGCCAAGAAAAGCCACUAAGUAUAUUAUUUGUUGCCCGUACCGUAAACCGACACAGGUGGGUGAGAUGAGUAUUCUAAGGCGCGUGGAAGAACCCUGGUUAAGGAACUCUGCAAACUAGCACCGUAUCUUCGGUAUAAGGUGUGCCUACUUUGGUAUAUGGACUUGCUCCAAAAAGCUAAAGAGGUUGCAACAAAGAGUCCCUCCCGACUGUUUAC